AGACCGAUAGCGAACAAGUAGAGUGAUCGAAAGAUGAAAAGCACUUUGAAAAGAGGGUUAAACAGUACGUGAAAUUGUUGAAAGGGAAGCAUUCAUGACCAGACUUGGGCGUGGCGGAUCAACCGGCGUUCUCGCCGGUGCACUCCGCCUGUCCAGGCCAGCAUCAGUUCGCCCCGGGGGGGAAAGGCUUCGGGAACGUAUCUCCUCCGGGAGUGUUAUAGCCCGUUGCGUAAUGCCCUGGGGUGGACUGAGGUCCGCGCUUCCGCAUGGAUGCUGGCGUAAUGGUCAUCAAUGACCCGUCUUGAAACACGGACCAAG
rnacentral:rRNA from 2 species